UGGAUCCAGACUUUGAUCAUGGCUCAGGAUGAACGCUAGCUACAGGCUUAACACAUGCAAGUCGAGGGGAAACGAUAGAGAAAGCUUGCUUUUUCUAGGCGUCGACCGGCGCACGGGUGAGUAACGCGUAUCCAACCUGCCCAUCACUUGGGGAUAACCUUGCGAAAGUAAGACUAAUACCCAAUGACGUCUCUAGAAGACAUCUGAAAGAGAUUAAAGAUUUAUCGGUGAUGGAUGGGGAUGCGUCUGAUUAGCUUGUUGGCGGGGUAACGGCCCACCAAGGCUACGAUCAGUAGGGGUUCUGAGAGGAAGGUCCCCCACAUUGGAACUAAGACACGGUCCAAACUCCUACGGGAGGCAGCAGUGAGGAAUAUUGGUCAAUGGGCGAGAGCCUGAACCAGCCAAGUAGCGUGCAGGAUGACGGCCCUAUGGGUUGUAAACUGCUUUUAUAAGGGAAUAAAGUGAGCCUCGUGAGGCUUUUUGCAUGUACCUUAUGAAUAAGGACCGGCUAAUUCCGUGCCAGCAGCCGCGGUAAUACGGAAGGUCCGGGCGUUAUCCGGAUUUAUUGGGUUUAAAGGGAGCGUAGGCCGGAGAUUAAGCGUGUUGUGAAAUGUAGAUGCUCAACAUCUGCACUGCAGCGCGAACUGGUUUCCUUGAGUACGCACAAAGUGGGCGGAAUUCGUGGUGUAGCGGUGAAAUGCUUAGAUAUCACGAAGAACUCCGAUUGCGAAGGCAGCUCACUGGAGCGCAACUGACGCUGAAGCUCGAAAGUGCGGGUAUCGAACAGGAUUAGAUACCCUGGUAGUCCGCACGGUAAACGAUGGAUGCCCGCUGUUGGUCUGAAUAGGUCAGCGGCCAAGCGAAAGCAUUAAGCAUCCCACCUGGGGAGUACGCCGGCAACGGUGCAACUCAAAUGAAUUGACGGA
rnacentral:rRNA from 1 species